AUUCAGUUGGCGAGUCCCAAAUAGAACGAAACACGUGCCCUGGAU
rfam:Schistosoma curassoni strain Dakar, Senegal genome assembly, scaffold: SCTD_scaffold0000020